rnacentral:rRNA from 1 species
AACGCUGGCGGCGUGCCUAAUACAUGCAAGUCGAACGCACAGCGAAAGGUGCUUGCACCUUUCAAGUGAGUGGCGAACGGGUGAGUAACACGUGGACAACCUGCCUCAAGGCUGGGGAUAACAUUUGGAAACAGAUGCUAAUACCGAAUAAAACUUAGUGUCGCAUGACACAAAGUUAAAAGGCGCUUCGGCGUCACCUAGAGAUGGAUCCGCGGUGCAUUAGUUAGUUGGUGGGGUAAAGGCCUACCAAGACAAUGAUGCAUAGCCGAGUUGAGAGACUGAUCGGCCACAUUGGGACUGAGACACGGCCCAAACUCCUACGGGAGGCUGCAGUAGGGAAUCUUCCACAAUGGGCGAAAGCCUGAUGGAGCAACGCCGCGUGUGUGAUGAAGGCUUUCGGGUCGUAAAGCACUGUUGUAUGGGAAGAACAGCUAGAAUAGGAAAUGAUUUUAGUUUGACGGUACCAUACCAGAAAGGGACGGCUAAAUACGUGCCAGCAGCCGCGGUAAUACGUAUGUCCCGAGCGUUAUCCGGAUUUAUUGGGCGUAAAGCGAGCGCAGACGGUUUAUUAAGUCUGAUGUGAAAGCCCGGAGCUCAACUCCGGAAUGGCAUUGGAAACUGGUUAACUUGAGUGCAGUAGAGGUAAGUGGAACUCCAUGUGUAGCGGUGGAAUGCGUAGAUAUAUGGAAGAACACCAGUGGCGAAGGCGGCUUACUGGACUGCAACUGACGUUGAGGCUCGAAAGUGUGGGUAGCAAACAGGAUUAGAUACCCUGGUAGUCCACACCGUAAACGAUGAACACUAGGUGUUAGGAGGUUUCCGCCUCUUAGUGCCGAAGCUAACGCAUUAAGUGUUCCGCCUGGGGAGUACGACCGCAAGGUUGAAACUCAAAGGAAUUGACGGGGACCCGCACAAGCGGUGGAGCAUGUGGUUUAAUUCGAAGCAACGCGAAGAACCUUACCAGGUCUUGACAUCCUUUGAAGCUUUUAGAGAUAGAAGUGUUCUCUUCGGAGACAAAGUGACAGGUGGUGCAUGGUCGUCGUCAGCUCGUGUCGUGAGAUGUUGGGUUAAGUCCCGCAACGAGCGCAACCCUUAUUGUUAGUUGCCAGCAUUCAGAUGGGCACUCUAGCGAGACUGCCGGUGACAAACCGGAGGAAGGCGGGGACGACGUCAGAUCAUCAUGCCCCUUAUGACCUGGGCUACACACGUGCUACAAUGGCGUAUACAACGAGUUGCCAACCCGCGAGGGUGAGCUAAUCUCUUAAAGUACGUCUCAGUUCGGAUUGUAGUCUGCAACUCGACUACAUGAAGUCGGAAUCGCUAGUAAUCGCGGAUCAGCACGCCGCGGUGAAUACGUUCCCGGGUCUUGUACACACCGCCCGUCACACCAUGGGAGUUUGUAAUGCCCAAAGCCGGUGGCCUAACCUUUUAGGAAGGAGCCGUCUAAGGCAGGACAGAUGACUG